GGAAAGGCGCGCGAUACAGGGUGACAGCCCCGUACACAAAAAUGCACAUGCUGUGAGCUCGAUGAGUAGGGCGGGACACGUGGUAUCCUGUCUGAAUAUGGGGGGACCAUCCUCCAAGGCUAAAUACUCCUGACUGACCGAUAGUGAACCAGUACCGUGAGGGAAAGGCGAAAAGAACCCCGGCGAGGGGAGUGAAAAAGAACCUGAAACCGUGUACGUACAAGCAGUGGGAGCACGCUUAGGCGUGUGACUGCGUACCUUUUGUAUAAUGGGUCAGCGACUUAUAUUCUGUAGCAAGGUUAACCGAAUAGGGGAGCCGAAGGGAAACCGAGUCUUAACUGGGCGUUAAGUUGCAGGGUAUAGACCCGAAACCCGGUGAUCUAGCCAUGGGCAGGUUGAAGGUUGGGUAACACUAACUGGAGGACCGAACCGACUAAUGUUGAAAAAUUAGCGGAUGACUUGUGGCUGGGGGUGAAAGGCCAAUCAAACCGGGAGAUAGCUGGUUCUCCCCGAAAGCUAUUUAGGUAGCGCCUCGUGAAUUCAUCUCCGGGGGUAGAGCACUGUUUCGGCAAGGGGGUCAUCCCGACUUACCAACCCGAUGCAAACUGCGAAUACCGGAGAAUGUUAUCACGGGAGACACACGGCGGGUGCUAACGUCCGUCGUGAAGAGGGAAACAACCCAGACCGCCAGCUAAGGUCCCAAAGUCAUGGUUAAGUGGGAAACGAUGUGGGAAGGCCCAGACAGCCAGGAUGUUGGCUUAGAAGCAGCCAUCAUUUAAAGAAAGCGUAAUAGCUCACUGGUCGAGUCGGCCUGCGCGGAAGAUGUAACG
rnacentral:rRNA from 1 species